UUAUUUUAUUUAUUUCCCUGCUUCUCUCUUUAGGGCAGCGGCGUUUUCGCUUGUGCCUGAGCAAAGCGUGAGGAUAAGGACUCCGGGAUAAGUGUCGGUUUGACACAGAUGCCCAGUAGGACGAUGGGGACCGCGGGGUGAGGUACACGGGGGAGCCGCUCCCGCACCGCGUUCCUGUGACUACUUCUCCCACGCCUUGCCUCCCCGCCCUCUCCGUACACCCACGGGCACUGGAGGUUCGCUCCACCCUCCUAAGGGGAGAAUAAACACCAAGGACUGCUGUUAGAAAUGACCAAAAAAUGUCUGCUGAGAAGAAUGGAGCAAGAGGGCUUAAAAAGACUAACGGGGGAUACCAUCACUUGGGCGUGAAAACAGAACAAAAUCAUGCAAAUUAAGAGAAUAGGUGGGAAGUUUUAAAAAUCCUCCAGCUCAGUGAUAACACUACUGUAAGAGCAGCAGGUCUGCUUACCUUUAAAUGAAGCAACCAUUCGGUAUUCCCCUCAGGUACUAUUUGCUGACAGCAGAGAGACUUAAUCUUAGCAGGGGAGCAUCUGGCUUUGUAAAAGUCUCUUUCUUCCUGAUAUCUUCUGCUUGGUCUGGCAGAAACUAGGCUAGCUAUCUCUGGGCAGUAAAAAAAUAAUUACUGGAUUUGUCACAGAUUAGCUUUCAACCUUUAGGGAGUUAUGUUUGGAGCAGUAUGUUCUGUUCUUCCUUUGCUGGGUCUGUUUCUUUGGGAAAGGGGAAGAUAGACACCAUUGGUGACUUAGCAUUCCUUGUGUAGAUGGAAAUAAACAUACAAAUAGAUCAGAACAGAGAAA